CGCUAACCUCACUGACAAGCCGCCAGCCAGAAGAAACUUUUGUGACACAAAGUAUCCAUAUCCAUCCUGGCCGGUCCCUGUGGCAAAUUCUAAAUAAGGACUACUAUUGUGCUAAACAUUCAUGCUAAACGUUCCUGGCUUAUAUUUUUAUAUUUAAGAGGGAAAGUGGGGCUAGAUUAUGGUUUUAACACUAUAGGGUCAGGAAUACAGGUUUGUGUUCUUUUAAUGUAUAUUCUCCAAAAUUCAGCUAAUUACGAGCAAAAGAUGCUGUGGAAAUUACAGUACAGAGCACCAUGGCAACAAGAGCACACUGACUUCUAAGUAGUGUUUUGUGUGGACGCUGUAGUAGUGUUUCUAAACAGAAAUAAACUUGAUCUAAAAAUGAUUGUUACCCUCUCCCGACUACCUUAGGUAGGGAAUCCCUACAGCUGAGCUCUGACUCACUAAGUGUGCCCCAGAACCGCAUGGGAGAGCUUACAAUGCAAAGUAUCAGCGGAGUGAGCAAACAGUGAAAAUCACCACCGAACCAUGAGCUCAGCCAGCACUGGACUACCAAGCUAUGCUUUCCUAUGGGGAGCACUAAUGCGCAUGCCGACGCAGUCAGAAAGAGGAGCGGCGUGGAGGGAGAAGCAGCAACGUGGGACAUCGUCGCUGCCUCAGGUAAGUUACUGAAGGGGUUUUCAUCCCUUCAGCAACCGGGGAUUGACAGAGGGGGGGGGGGGCUUCCUGGCACUGGAGUUUCCCUUUAAGGUGGUCUAAGUGCAAUGUCCCGGUUAGUCCUGCAAUUCCUGGUGGUUAAGCAACUUUUGGUUGCCUGACGCUAGAUGUCCUCACGCUCUGCAUGAGGACAUCCAGCAUUAGUGAAAUCCUGAUAAGAAAGCAUUGAAGGAAAGUUUUCCUAUGGGGAGGGCCUAAUGCUCUUACAAUGCAUGCACAUUAGGGUUCACCACCCAGAGGAUGUUGAGGAAGACUGACAAGGGUAUCGGUUAAGUGUUAAAAGGUUAGUAGAAAGCAGAGGAGAGGCUAUGUGGCCUAAUCCAAAUUAAUUGGGAUAGGAAGAUAGAGGUCAGUGUGGGGGUACCAGAUCCACUAAGCGGGCUUGGACCCAAAAGGAAAAAAAACAAAAACAAAAAAAAACCCCCAUACAUUUAGGCAAAAAAACAAACGCAUACACCCCAAUCAAGGUGGGAGGGCUGAAUACUGAUAUUUAAAGAAGGGAAAACAUUACAAAUUGACAGCUAUAAUAACUAGCUUAGAAAUGAGCCUUGUGGGGCAGUAGUGAAAAAUUACUGCAGCUAUAAGUACAAAUUCUAUCUAGUAGGAAAAUACUGUGUAAAACCAG